GAUGAACGCUGGCGGCGUGCCUAACACAUGCAAGUCGAACGAAGCUUGACGGAUGAUUUCUUCGGAAUGAAACCAGAUAUGACUUAGUGGCGGACGGGUGAGUAACACGUGAGCAACCUGCCUUUCAGAGGGGGAUAACGGCUGGAAACGGUCGCUAAUACCGCAUGAUGUGUUCGGAUGGCAUCAUCUGAACAUCAAAGAUUUAUCGCUGAAAGAUGGGCUCGCGUCCGAUUAGAUAGUUGGUGGGGUAACGGCCUACCAAGUCUACGAUCAGUAGCCGGACUGAGAGGUUGAACGGCCACAUUGGGACUGGGAUACGGCCCAGACUCCUACGGGAGGCAGCAGUGGGGAAUAUUGCACAAUGGGGGAAACCCUGAUGCAGCAACGCCGCGUGAAGGAUGACGGUUUUCGGAUUGUAAACUUCUUUUCUUAGUGACGAAGACAGUGACGGUAGCUAAGGAAUAAGCAUCGGCUAACUACGUG
rnacentral:rRNA from 1 species